AUUGAACGCUGGCGGCAUGCCUUACACAUGCAAGUCGAACGGCAGCACGGGAGCAAUCCUGGUGGCGAGUGGCGAACGGGUGAGUAAUAUAUCGGAACGUGCCCGGUCGUGGGGGAUAACGUAGCGAAAGCUACGCUAAUACCGCAUACGAUCUACGGAUGAAAGCGGGGGAUCGCAAGACCUCGCGCGAUUGGAGCGGCCGAUAUCAGAUUAGGUAGUUGGUGAGGUAAAGGCUCACCAAGCCGACGAUCUGUAGCUGGUCUGAGAGGACGACCAGCCACACUGGGACUGAGACACGGCCCAGACUCCUACGGGAGGCAGCAGUGGGGAAUUUUGGACAAUGGGCGCAAGCCUGAUCCAGCAAUGCCGCGUGCAGGAUGAAGGCCUCGGUUGUAACUAGCUUUG
rnacentral:rRNA from 1 species